ACGGAGGGUGCGAGCGUUGUUCGGAAUUAUUGGGCGUAAAGCGCGUGUAGGCGGUUUGGUAAGUCUGAUGUGAAAGCCCCGGGCUCAACCUGGGAAGUGCAUUGGAAACUGUCAGACUUGAAUACGGGAGAGGGUAGUGGAAUUCCUAGUGUAGGAGUGAAAUCCGUAGAUAUUAGGAGGAACACCGGUGGCGAAGGCGGCUACCUGGACCGAUAUUGACGCUGAGACGCGAAAGCGUGGGGAGCAAACAG
rnacentral:rRNA from 1 species